CCGGCACCGAGGCUCGCGGGCCGCCCGCGUCCCGGCGGAGGCAGGCUUGGGCGCGACGCGGGCAGGAGGAUACCCGGUAAACCCGGCGUGCCGGGCGGUGUAAUUUUGCGGCCUUAAAAUAACACCACCACCACACCCCCCGCCCCGCUGGAAACGUUUUUUGAGCUGGGACCACUUGUACACAUUUGCCUGCAGGAGCUCGAUCCUGCAUAUACCUCUCUGCAGCCUGUGUUGAUGGCUCUAUGGCUCAGGUUACAUACAUGCAGAGGAAAAGGAGUCCAGUCUCAUCCUUUUCUCCUGAGAAGACACGGCAGUGAUGUACGAGGACAGUUUGCAACAUACACUCCCUGAAUAAAUGUUGUCUGUCUCCUCAAAGGAAACGGCAAGAAGCCAGGUAGAAGCAUCCCGGAGAUCCAAAUUUGAUCUGCAUGCUGUCAGCUGGACCACUUCAUACACAAUGAGCUAUGCAGCAGUUAGCUUAUCUACUCUGUCAGAAAUCUGAAACUAUUUUAGCAAUUAAAGACCACCACAAAUGCUGUGCAA